rnacentral:lncRNA from 1 species
AAAAGAAACAAGCACAGAGAGUUGAAGGAUGCUGAGGAAGGGUGAAGUUAUUAGGACUUACCCUGAUGCUGCAGUUGGAUUAAACAUGGGGCUACAGCAACCGCAAAUACAUCUUGAGAAAAGAGAUGGUGUUACUGUGAGUGAAGACUAUGGCACAGGCCUCCUUGAAAACAAGCUCUGUGUGGAGGAUUUUGUGAAGAUACAACAGGUCUUUGAGUCCCAAGAUCAAACCAUUUGUAUGCCCAGGGAAGAAUUCAUACAGAAGAUGACAGAGACUGUAGGUUGUGGCACAAAGGAAGAAUUUGAAGAACUCUUUGACAAAGUGGAUGUGGCCCGGGAUGGCUUCAUUGGCUGGGACAAGCUGACUUCAUUUAUCCUUCUAUCGCUUUAUGAAAGAGAUGAACGAGAAAAGGCAACAGUGGUUCCCCAAUGGAAGGAUCUUGAGUUCCUCCCAGGAAAACACAAGGAUACCAUUCAGAAAGUAGUUUUCUUAAAAAGUUCAAGUCGUUAUUUGACUAUUAGCAAGGAAGGCUUACUAGGAGUCUGGGGAGAGAACUUGAAGUUGCAAAAAGC